GACAUAUUUGCAUAUCUAAAUUGCCUAUAGCUUUUCCCAUAACGCUCCGCAGAGCUCUUGUUCAAAUGUAUUUACUGAAUAUUGUAACAUUGUACUCACUUCUCUCCAGAUGCCCAUGUAUACACGCCAGAACCGUGCAUUUUAUUAAACUUCCAGCAUCCCUCAUAUAGGUCGCCAUUAGCGAACAUAAACUCACCAAAACCAUGUUUUUGUCCUAGGCAGUUCUUUUCACCAUGAUAGCGAGAGACCAUUGCCGUUUCACCGUCAAGACUAUCGUAUGACAUACAUGGACAUAAUAUUUGUAGUAUAGCAGCCAUAUUAUGAAACGCUAAUUUAUAUUUAUUGACACGACUAUUUUAUGAACCGAUUGUUGUGUCCCAGCAUUGCACAAAGGGCUAGUACUUUUCGUUCAGGUUCUCCGAACAAGAACACCCUAUUCUUAGGGUGUCUAAUCCACAUCAAUUGUGCGCGAUAAUAUAUCCCACGUCUUUCAGUUGAAAUUACCUAAAAUGUUGUUAUGUUUAUCCUUGUAAUCUGGACAUAUGCCAAGACGUAUUGGCAAUGGACCGUACUGACAAAAUUAAAAAAUAAUGUCUGGUAUGAUUUUCGUUUAUGCAGUUAUUUAGACUUUAAGAUUCCAAUUCCCUGUCGAGAAAAAUGAAUUUGGCCACUGGUAGAUCGUCUAAUCUACAUAAAUGUCUCCAUUUUUCUGUGUAUAGUAAUAGUUUGUAUUCAAAUUCAAGGAAGCGGAAGUAUUUUUCAUGUGAUAUUUGAAUGAUAUGAGGCAGCGUCAAAAGAUCAAAUAUAAUUAAUUAGACAGAAUUAUUUCACAA